rnacentral:rRNA from 1 species
UACGGGGGGGGCAAGCGUUGUUCGGAAUUACUGGGCGUAAAGGGCUCGUAGGUGGCCAACUAAGUCAGACGUGAAAUCCCUCGGCUUAACCGGGGAACUGCGUCUGAUACUGGUUGGCUUGAGUUUGGGAGAGGGAUGCGGAAUUCCAGGUGUAGCGGUGAAAUGCGCAGAUAUCAGGAGGAACACCGGUGGCGAAGGCGGAUCUCUGGGCCAUUACUGACGCUGAGGAGCGAAAGCGUGGGGAGCGAACAGG